CACGUAGGCGGGAACUUAAGUCAGGUGUGAAAGACCGGGGCUCAACUCCGGGUUGCACUUGGAACUGGGUUUCUUGAGGGCAGGAGAGGAAAGCAGAAUUCCUGGUGUAGCGGUGAAAUGCGUAGAAAUCAGGAGGAAUACCAGUGGCGAAGGCGGCUUUCUGGACUGACCCUGACGCUGAGGUGCGAAAGCGUGGGUAGCAAACA
rnacentral:rRNA from 1 species